AAUGGAUAUCUAUGUGAAGAAGACGAG
rnacentral:sRNA from 1 species